AGAGUUUGAUCAUGGCUCAGGACGAACGCUGGCGGCGUGCUUAACACAUGCAAGUCGAACGGUGAAGCCUUCGGGUGGAUCAGUGGCGAACGGGUGAGUAACACGUGGGCAAUCUGCCCUGCACUCUGGGACAAGCCCUGGAAACGGGGUCUAAUACCGGAUAAUACCUUCUCCUGCAUGGGGGUGGGUUGAAAGCUCCGGCGGUGCAGGAUGAGCCCGCGGCCUAUCAGCUUGUUGGUGGGGUAAUGGCCUACCAAGGCGACGACGGGUAGCCGGCCUGAGAGGGCGACCGGCCACACUGGGACUGAGACACGGCCCAGACUCCUACGGGAGGCAGCAGUGGGGAAUAUUGCACAAUGGGCGAAAGCCUGAUGCAGCGACGCCGCGUGAGGGAUGACGGCCUUCGGGUUGUAAACCUCUUUCAGCAGGGAAGAAGCGCAAGUGACGGUACCUGCAGAAGAAGCGCCGGCUAACUACGUGCCAGCAGCCGCGGUAAUACGUAGGGCGCAAGCGUUGUCCGGAAUUAUUGGGCGUAAAGAGCUCGUAGGCGGCUUGUCACGUCGGGUGUGAAAGCCCGGGGCUUAACCCCGGGUCUGCAUUCGAUACGGGCUAGCUAGAGUGUGGUAGGGGAGAUCGGAAUUCCUGGUGUAGCGGUGAAAUGCGCAGAUAUCAGGAGGAACACCGGUGGCGAAGGCGGAUCUCUGGGCCAUUACUGACGCUGAGGAGCGAAAGCGUGGGGAGCGAACAGGAUUAGAUACCCUAGUAGUCC
rnacentral:rRNA from 1 species